rnacentral:rRNA from 1 species
AGAUUCAACAUGGAACGAGUGGCGGACGGGUGAGUAACACGUGGGUAACCUGCCCUUAAGUGGGGGAUAACAUUUGGAAACAGAUGCUAAUACCGCAUAGAUCCAAGAACCGCAUGGUUCUUGGCUGAAAGAUGGCGUAAGCUAUCGCUUUUGGAUGGACCCGCGGCGUAUUAGCUAGUUGGUGAGGUAAUGGCUCACCAAGGCGAUGAUACGUAGCCGAACUGAGAGGUUGAUCGGCCACAUUGGGACUGAGACACGGCCCAAACUCCUACGGGAGGCAGCAGUAGGGAAUCUUCCACAAUGGACGCAAGUCUGAUGGAGCAACGCCGCGUGAGUGAAGAAGGCUUUCGGGUCGUAAAACUCUGUUGUUGGAGAAGAAUGGUCGGCAGAGUAACUGUUGUCGGCGUGACGGUAUCCAACCAGAAAGCCACGGCUAACUACGUGCCAGCAGCCGCGGUAAUACGUAGGUGGCAAGCGUUAUCCGGAUUUAUUGGGCGUAAAGCGAGCGCAGGCGGUUUUUUAAGUCUGAUGUGAAAGCCCUCGGCUUAACCGAGGAAGCGCAUCGGAAACUGGGAAACUUGAGUGCAGAAGAGGACAGUGGAACUCCAUGUGUAGCGGUGAAAUGCGUAGAUAUAUGGAAGAACACCAGUGGCGAAGGCGGCUGUCUGGUCUGUAACUGACGCUGAGGCUCGAAAGCAUGGGUAGCGAACAGGAUUAGA